GGGAAUCCCAAAACACAUUCAUCAGAACAAUGAAAGGCAUAACAAAGUGUUUUUAGAUGGAUUCCAAGCUUAACCCCAAAACAACCCAAAACACAUGCAUUUUGCAGAAUGCAGCAAAAAUAUACAUUUCAAGGGACUGAAAUUUAUAUUUAACCCAGUUUCAUUUAAGAUAUAAUUGCUAUGGAAAACAAGAUAAGAUACAACUAAUAUAGUUUAGAAUGAUGUUGCUUGGGGAGGGGGAGACGGCGGGGCCCGGGGGCCGUGGGUGAAGAAGAUAGUGACAGAAGAUUUAAAUUUGGAUUGGUACCUCCAAAAUAAAUUCAAACAGACUUUCUGAGAAUAGUUAAAAAUGAGUUAAGAAGUGUAUGAACUGUUUACAUGUAAAACUAUCUGCCUUCAUUGGUCAUCAACUGGGAAAAGACUUUGCUGGUUGUUAUGUCUGAAACACCAUUACCGUCAUCUUUUUCAGCCCCAGCGUCAUCACUUGAUGAACCUUGGGGAACCAUUGAAGGUGAUGGGAGCUCCUGUGCAUUUGCAUUGCCAUUCACCCGCGGUUCUCUUGAUGGUCCAGAUUCCUGAAGCUGAAGUACAUACUCCAAAUUCCAUAGCACAUCGCCCAUGGUAGGCCUAUCCACACCAUAGUCCGCCAAACAUUUCUCUGCUGUUUCUCCAUAUUUCUUAAGAGAGCUUCGUUUUAUCUGUCCAACAAGAUGGGGAUCGACAAUUUUCUCAAGUAUACCUUUUUUCUGCCAUUGCAUUGCCCAUUCAGCUAAAUUCACUUGCUCCCUGGCAAGCAAUGGAUCAACAGCAGGUCUAGCACAGAGAACCUCAAAAAGAACUACUCCAAAUGAAUAAACAUCUGACUUGUCUGUCAGCUGCUGUCUCCGGAAAUACUCUGGAUCGAGAUAACCAAAACUACCUUUGACGCCAGUACUUACAUGAGUCUCAUUGAGGCAUGGCCCAGAUCUUGAAAGACCAAAAUCAGCAACCUUAGCCACAUAAUUUUGGUCAAGCAAAAUAUUUGUAGACUUAAUAUCACGAUGGAUGAUGCCUUGUGUUGAACCUGUAUGCAGGUAGUGAAGACCUCUUGCUGCACCAAUGCAAAUUUCAAGCCUUUGCUUCCAUGACAAAGUUGGAUAUCCUGAACCAUAUAAAUGAUUCUUCAAUGGUCCCCUUUCCAUAUACUCAUAAACCAGUAUCAUUUCUGACUGCUCUUCACAAUACCCAGUGAGGGAAACAAGAUGACGGUGACGUAUCCUGGAUAAAACUGCUAUUUCUGUCUGGAAUUCUGGAAGUCCCUGCCUAGAUCCAGGAACACCCCUCUUUACAGCAACCUUCGUGUUGUCUUUAAGAACCCCUUUGUAAACCAUACCAAAUCCACCCGAACCAAUGAUUAGAUUUUCAUCAAAAUUGUUAGUGGCCAAUUGAAUGUCGGCAAUAGGGAUCCUCAAGCUGUGAUAACCAUUUGAACCAGGAGAUGCAUUGACCGUCACUUCAGACAGUCUAGUGUGAGAACUGCCUCCAUAUACACGUAAGGGUGUCCAACCUACACUUUCAGCACGUCUUGGUUUAGGUUUCUGCUUUCUGCAUUUACAUAGAAGCACAACAGCAAGAACAACCAAAGAAAAUACAAGAAGGCCUCCGAAAAUUGAACCUAACACAAUCCAAAUUCGUCUCUUUUUAUAUCCAGUCUGUGAAUCAAGAACAUUUACCAUCUUCAUGAUCUCUACACCAUUCAAAAUAGCAUUGAUUUUCAAAGAAGUGCUUAUAUCCGAGGGUCCGACACUCACACGCAUAGUCCCCAGAUCAUCAGAAUCUGCGAUAAGGUCUAAGUAGACUGGAGAUGAAAGCAUGUGGAAUGUAAGCGUAGAUAGAUCAAGAUCCUUGUAAGCAGAGAGGUCAUUCACAUAUACAUCAAAGUACAACUGGUUAAGUGAAGUACUAACAAUAUCACAAAAAUGCAAGCGAACCAAGUGUCGAACAUCACUCGAACCCACUGGAAAAUCCCAUGUGAUGUUGAAUCUUGCCCCUAAGGUUGCGUUAUCCUUAUUCAUCUGCUGUGCAGUCAUAUACACAUUAUCUGGCGCAAUCUCUGGGCUGGCACCUCCACUCUGAUAAUUAGGAGUAUGAGUAGUAGCUACACGUUUAGCAGCAGUUUUCAAAACAAGAAAAUCAUCAUCAGGGAUCCACGUUCUCCACAAAGUAUCAUUAAAAGCUGUCAAUUUCGAACCUCCCACAUUAAUCCUGUGAAUUGUCUCUAAAACAUGCAACGAAAGAUUCUGGUACUCUUCAAUUCCAUCAGCACUAACCAGCUUGGCUCCAUAAUCAACGAUAAAGUCUUUGGGAGCCGAAAACACUUCGAUAGCACUAAUAAAUCCAAAACCUGACUCACCCACAGGUCUCAACAAAAUUUCCAGCAUUUUAUCAUUUGCUUUUAUUAUAUACUCCUUAAGCACGACAACUUGGGUACUAAAAUCAUUCAACAUCACAUUACCGUUAACAAGAACACUAAAUUUUGCAGUUGAUAAAUUAAAACCUCGAGCUGCAAAUGGCGAGAAAUGAAAACGUACCAAGUGAGUCCCAUUCUUCUUGAUGUUGAAUUUGUAGCUCGAAGGAGUGGUGAAAACUCUCGCUGUAUGGUACAAAGCGGGCGAAUUUGGAGAUGGGUUUUGGUCAGCGAGGGAAAUGGAGCGGUCUGCUGAGAGAAAAAACGAACCUGCUCUGGAAGCAUCGGAUACAAAGACUCGGUUAUAGAGCGAAGUGUUGGUGGCUGAGCCACAGUUGAGAAGGUAAUUAUCUGUGGGGGAGUAAGAGGUGGAUGAAGAGAUAAGAGAGAUUAUAAUUAGAGACAGAAAAUGAAGUGUUUUGGUUUCCAUUGAAGGAGAUUUUGGGUUUCCUGAAGAGAAUUAAACAGAGGAUUGCUUCUUUAAGAAAUGAAGUGCAUGAUUGAAGGGUGUUGAAGAAAAGAUUCGAUACUCGGAUUUGAAAUUUGGGGCAUGACGGUGCAAAUUUAAUGACAAUUUUAGUGCUUCCAUAAUCAAUAAUCUUACACCGUUCACACUGGUGCAGGAUGUUGGCUCGCCAUUGGAUAAGAUUGGGCUUGGCCGCUCUCCAUUGAUAAACAGUGCAAAAUCAGCCAUGGAAAGGUUCCACCAGUCAAAAAA
rnacentral:misc_RNA from 1 species